rnacentral:rRNA from 1 species
CCUACGGGAGGCAGCAGUAGGGAAUAUUGCUCAAUGGGGGAAACCCUGAAGCAGCAACGCCGCGUGGAGGAUGAAGGUUUUAGGAUUGUAAACUCCUUUUGUUAGAGAAGAUUAUGACGGUAUCUAACGAAUAAGCACCGGCUAACUCCGUGCCAGCAGCCGCGGUAAUACGGAGGGUGCAAGCGUUACUCGGAAUCACUGGGCGUAAAGAGUGCGUAGGCGGGGUAAUAAGUCAGAUGUGAAAUCCUGUAGCUUAACUACAGAACUGCAUUUGAAACUGUUACUCUGGAGUGUGGGAGAGGUAGGUGGAAUUCUUGGUGUAGGGGUAAAAUGCGUAGAGAUCAAGAGGAAUACUCAUGGCGAAGGCGACCUGCUGGAACAUUACUGACGCUGAGGCACGAAAGCGUGGGGAGCAAACAGGAUUAGAUACCCGGGUAGUC